rnacentral:rRNA from 1 species
AACGAACGCUGGCGGCGUGCCUAACACAUGCAAGUCGAACGAGAAAGGGGCUUCGGCUCCGAGUAAAGUGGCGCACGGGUGAGUAACACGUAGGUAACCUGCCUCUAAGAUUGGGAUAACCUGUCGAAAGAUGAGCUAAUACCAAAUAAGACCACGGCUUCCUCGGAAGCAGAGGUCAAAGGUAGCCUCUACUUGUAAGCUAUCACUUAGAGAUGGGCCUGCGUAACAUUAGCUAGUUGGUGGGGUAACGGCCUACCAAGGCAAAGAUGGUUAGCUGGUCUGAGAGGAUGAUCAGCCACACUGGAACUGAGACACGGUACAGACUCCUACGGGAGGCAGCAGUGGGGAAUAUUGCGCAAUGGGCGAAAGCCUGACGCAGCAACGCCGCGUGAGUGAUGAAGGCCUUCGGGUCGUAAAGCUCUGUCGGAGGGAACGAAUGCUCUUGAGGUUAACAGCCUCGGGAAGUGACGGUACCCUCAAAGGAAGCACCGGCUAACUCUGUGCCAGCAGCCGCAGUAAUAC